rnacentral:rRNA from 1 species
GAUGAACGCUAGCGACAGGCUUAACACAUGCAAGUCGAGGGGCAGCAUAAAAGUAGCAAUACUUUGGUGGCGACCGGCGCACGGGUGAGUAACGCGUAUGCAACCUACCUAUCAGAGGGGAAUAACCCGGCGAAAGUCGGACUAAUACCGCAUAAAACAGGGGCACCGCAUGGUGAUAUUUGUUAAAGAAAUUCGCUGAUAGAUGGGCAUGCGUUCCAUUAGGUAGUUGGUGAGGUAACGGCUCACCAAGCCGACGAUGGAUAGGGGAACUGAGAGGUUGGUCCCCCACACUGGUACUGAGACACGGACCCAGACUUCCUACGGGAGGCAGCAGUGAGGAAUAUUGGUCAAUUGGGCGGGAGCCUGAACCAGCCAAGUCGCGUGAAGGAAGAAGGAUCUAUGGUUCGUAAACUUCUUUUGCAGGGGAAUAAAGUGCAGGACGUGUCCUGUUUUGUAUGUACCCUGAGAAUAAGGAUCGGCUAACUCGUGCCAGCAGCCGCGGUAAAA